GUUUUAUCGUUAUAUAAUUGUGCUGAAUCCUGUCAUUUCUCUGUCUGCGUCUGUUCUCGGGGAUUGAUUCCUCUGAUACAACCAUGUCUGCUGUAAAAACAUGUCCACUAACUCUUGACAGAGAUAUACGGCUCCUCUGACAGCUCCAGCUGGGUAGAAAUAACUCCCAGCAUGCCUUUGGAUGGCCAUGUCAGGACAGAAGUGAAGCCCCAAUCACAGCCUGUUACAGCUAUGAAACGGAGUGGUUUGACUCUUUGAUGCACCUCUAAGAUACAUGAAUAAAUGUUUGAUUUCUGAUCUACUGAUGUGAUUACAAGGUAAGCUACAGGGCUAGUGCAAGUAUUCCUUUACAUAACGAUAAAGGCAAGGAGUGCCAGUGAAUUUAAUACAUGCAUUUAAAUCAUUUUCCUUUAUGCUUUGGCUUCAGCAGUUUGCUAAAAGUCAACACCAUAUAAGGACCCCCAUCUGUGGAGAUGAAUCUGCAGAACUGCAGGAGGUGAAAUCAGUAUUUCAUUGCCGUCAGUGAGCAACAGAUUCAUCCAGGAAAGAAAAAAAAAUCUGUCCAAUUUAUAUGUUUUAUAUAAGAUCUGCAGCUGUCAUCAGUCACAGUUCACUAUAAAUAAAAUCACAGUCCUCUGCAGCGUCAGAGCGGCUCUGCAUGACUUUCAACAAGAUGAGAUGGAAACAGUCGAAAACGGAGAAAACUUUAACGGUGAAUCAGAGUCAGUCAGUGUUGAACAUAUAACAGGUUUGUUUUGGUUAUUUCCAGGAAAAGUAGGAGAAGGAUCUCAAUAAAAAAACCACCAAAUUCAUCUCUGUAUUGAUAUGUUUCUGUUUACAGCACCAGAGUGUUGCAUUAGUUUCUCUCACUUUUACAUCAGUGUUUUAAACUUCUUUUCAUCCUGAAUACUUGUUUUUUUCUGUGAGCCCGUGUUGCAUGUCAACAUCAACCUGAUUCAUAAAAAGUAAGGUCAAAGCUAGCGGCUCUAUGCAAUGUCACACGGACCUUUAUUUCUUUCCUUUAUUUGAAAAAAUCCCUCUGAGCCAGCCAUGAGCCCGACACUGAAAUUGAUCGAAACAACAGCUGACAGGCCGACACCUGCACCUCCCAGAUCUCAUCCAAUCAGUUUGGUGGUGGAAAGAGGCUAAAUCCACGCAGGAAGACGACUUCUACAUCCACAAAAUCCCUGAAAAUACUGAAAGGAAAAGACUGCAGGCUAUGUCCCUGUGAUUUCAAAUGACGUCCUUAUGAUAACAAAGAAAAACAUCAGUCUUCCCUAAUGAAGCUAGAUUGUAAUGAAAACAUUUUAACAGCAUCUUUCUGAAUUAUGAGACAAACAGCGCUCUUAUUUCUUCUCCCUUGUGUCAAAUUAUCAAUAUUUGUACACAUUGUCUCUUUAUUUCCACCUGUUUUUACAUUCAUUAGUUGUUGUUGUGUGGCUCAUAUAAAAGAAGCAGGUGGUGUGGACGGUCAGCUGUAAACUCUUCACACAUUAGCAGAGAAACUUUGUUUAGUCCGGUCUAGUUAACGACUUCCUGGCCGUUGCUUCCUGUAAGCUAACAGCUCCAGAGGGGGUUUGAUGGCGUUUCCGACUCUGAGACAUGAUUAUGGGAUUCCCCUGAUCUUUGCUGAUACCAGAUAUCCAGGCCAAGACAAACUUCUCCAUCCGCUGGUCAACAUUUCCGAUCUGACUCAUGACUUAGGACUGAAAAUGGGGACUGAAUUAAACUCCUUUAAAUGAUCGCAUUAAUCUGAUGUCAAUCAAUAGUAGUCCCAUGCUGAAUCCUUCCCCGUUUCCUGGUUUGUUUGACUCUAAAUGGACCAAUUUCCAAAAUGGACAUCAUGCUGGACUGGGGUGAAGAGGGAAUCCAGGAUUGGUGCACACAGCUCUGCAGUUACCAUUUAAAAGAACCCUAGAUAGUAAGAAAAGCAUUAAAAACUGCAGAGCCUUUUAAUAAAUCAGAGUAUAUCUUUGUUUGAGGUGACCAGACUGCAAAGAAAGAAACCAGAGUUCAAAGAAAGCAUGGAGGAUAACAGAAAUAUGUAUUUUCUGUUAUCUGCAGCAUGCAUAUGGUCAUUCUUCUUUGGGAGAGAGCGAUGGUAAUCCAGAGGCAUGCCGGGAGAACAAUUUCCAUAAAUCAAGGCGACACCUUUAAAUGGAAGCGAGCCAUUAUCUCGAUAAAAACAAAUGUCGAGGGUUUCUCUUCAGCUGCAGACCCUGCAG
rnacentral:lncRNA from 1 species